rnacentral:rRNA from 1 species
AGUGAACGCUGGCGGUAGGCCUAACACAUGCAAGUCGAACGGCAGCACAGGAGAGCUUGCUCUCUGGGUGGCGAGUGGCGAACGGGUGAGGAAUACAUCGGAAUCUGCCCAGUCGUGGGGGAUAACGUAGGGAAACUUACGCUAAUACCGCAUACGACCUUCGGGUGAAAGAGGGGGAUCGCAAGACCUCUCGCGAUUGGAUGAGCCGAUGUCGGAUUAGCUAGUUGGCGGGGUAAUGGCCCACCAAGGCGACGAUCCGUAGCUGGUCUGAGAGGAUGAUCAGCCACACUGGAACUGAGACACGGUCCAGACUCCUACGGGAGGCAGCAGUGGGGAAUAUUGGACAAUGGGCGAAAGCCUGAUCCAGCCAUACCGCGUGGGUGAAGAAGGCCUUCGGGUUGUAAAGCCCUUUUGUUGGGAAAGAAAUCUUUCAGGCUAAUACCCUGGGAGGAUGACGGUACCCAAAGAAUAAGCACCGGCUAACUUCGU